rnacentral:rRNA from 1 species
AGGGGCAGCGCAGUGUAGCAAUACAUGGGCGGCGACCGGCAAACGGGUGCGGAACACGUACGCAACCUUCCUUUAAGUGGGGGAUAGCCCAGGGAAACUUGGAUUAAUACCCCGUAAUAUUAUGAAGUGGCAUCACUUUAUACUUAUAGCUCCGGCGCUUAAAGAUGGGCGUGCGACUGAUUAGGUAGUUGGCGGGGUAACGGCCCACCAAGCCUGCGAUCAGUAACUGGUGUGAGAGCACGACCAGUCACACGGGCACUGAGACACGGGCCCGACUCCUACGGGAGGCAGCAGUAAGGAAUAUUGGUCAAUGGACGCAAGUCUGAACCAGCCAUGCCGCGUGGAGGAUGAAGGUCCUCUGGAUUGUAAACUUCUUUUAUUUGGGAAGAAACCCAUUGUUUCUACGAUGGUUGACGGUACCAGAUGAAUAAGCACCGGCUAACUCCGUGCCAGCAGCCGCGGUAAUACGGAGGGUGCAAGCGUUAUCCGGAUUCACUGGGUUUAAAGGGUGCGUAGGCGGGCAGGUAAGUCAGUGGUGAAAUCUCCGAGCUUAACUUGGAAACUGCCGUUGAUACUAUCUGUCUUGAAUGCUGUGGAGGUAAGCGGAAUAUGUCAUGUAGCGGUGAAAUGCUUAGAUAUGACAUAGAACACCUAUUGCGAAGGCAGCUUGCUACACAGAAAUUGACGCUGAGGCACGAAAGCGUGGGGAUCAAACAGGAUUAGAUACCCUGGUAGUCCACGCCCUAAACGAUGGAUACUCGACAUCAGCGAUAC